GACGAACGCUGGCGGCGUGCUUAACACAUGCAAGUCGAACGGUGAUGCUCCAGCUUGCUGGAGUGGAUCAGUGGCGAACGGGUGAGUAACACGUGAGCAACCUGCCCCAGACUCUGGAAUAAGCGCUGGAAACGGCGUCUAAUACUGGAUACGAAACUGGCCCGCAUGGGCAUGGUUUGGAAAGUUUUUCGGUUUGGGAUGGGCUCGCGGCCUAUCAGCUUGUUGGUGAGGUAAUGGCUCACCAAGGCGACGACGGGUAGCCGGCCUGAGAGGGCGACCGGCCACACUGGGACUGAGACACGGCUCAGACUCCUACGGGAGGCAGCAGUGGGGAAUAUUGCACAAUGGGCGAAAGCCUGAUGCAGCGACGCCGCGUGAGGGAUGACGGCCUUCGGGUUGUAAACCUCUUUCAGCAGGGAAGAAGCGAAAGUGACGGUACCUGCAGAAGAAGCACCGGCUAACUACGUG
rnacentral:rRNA from 1 species